AUUUGCAAUGCGAGAGUUUCUGAAAGUCUGGCUUCACAAAGAAUUUAUUCCAUAAAGAAAUAAUUUCACUCCUUACACAACCAACGGGAGAACUAUUCAAAAAGAAAAAGUGUAUCCAACACUGUAGCUGGAGAAACCGCUAGCAGAUUUUCCAGUACCAUCGUGGUUGAGAUGGAAAGUACUACAGAGGAAUGUAGAGGGAUGGACCAUAAGCAUAAACAGACUUGUUAUGGAUGUGGAAGUUCAACAAGAAAAUUAUAUUUUGAAUUAGUAAAUUGUGAUCGUUAUUGCUCAGGAUGUAUGAAUAGUGUCAUAUUUGGAGGUAAUAUAGGAGUGGAGUAUUUUGACCAAUCUCCUGCUGGACCCAUUACCUUAGGGAACAGAGACUGUAAAGCAAAUGUGAAUGUUGACCUUGGUGAUCUCAGCAUUAAAGGACUGCAAGUGUAAGAAAGCCGAAAAGCCAAAAAGCAAGCAAAAGUGGAGAAGCUUCGCCGAGCAAUGAAGAAAUCUGGAAUACCAGCAGGACAUGAAUUUCAAGCUGAAAGAGGUGACAAAGUUGGUGCGCAAGCAGGAGACUUUGAAUAAAAAAAUCAGGAAGUUGGUAAGAGAGAUGGCUGAGUAUAAUAAGAUUCAUCUCGAACUGCAAGCACUGACAAAUGGUUUAGAGUCUUUGAAGCUCAAAGCUCCAAUGUUUAAGAUGUAAGAGUUUCUUUUGGGGGAAACAUGAUCAUGUUUCAAAUAUUUUUUUUUUUGUUUUUAUUUUUUAUUUCUCUUUUAUUUUUCUAACCUUUGAAGGUAUUAAUCUUAGUGGUUUAAGAGUUGAUGUAUGCUUUGUUUAAAGAGUGUAAAAGGAUGCGGUUGCAUUUUCCAACGUGCUUGGGAGAUGAAACCGCAACCGAGCAGUGUUGAUUUUGCAAUGCAUGAAGGUGUGACUUCUGUGGUUGAACCGAGCACACUUGUACCUAUGCAGAAAAAGGUGUUAUAGAUAUUUUUGUACUAACGUGUUGCUGACCACCACUACCAUUCUUCCCUUUGAACUUUUGACACUCUGUAUUAGAUGUGAUAAAGGUCAGGUACUAUGCUUGUGUAUGAAUACACAUGAUUACCAAAUAAGGGAGAAUGUAGGGAAGGUAUACAAAGGGUAUGCAAAGCUAUAAAAGGGAGAGAAAAAUCUGAGUGCGGGGCCGCACUUCGAUGGUGAAGACUUACUCACUUUUAUUUUUUCAUUUUUGAUUACUUAUGAGUUAUUGUCCAUUAAUAAAAUGAAACCAUGACAAAUGGUGAUGCGGAAAAUUUUAUU